rnacentral:rRNA from 1 species
UACGUAGGGGGCAAGCGUUGUCCGGAAUCAUUGGGCGUAAAGAGCGCGUAGGCGGCCCUGUAAGUCCGCUGUGAAAGUCCAAGGCUCAACCUUGGGAUGCCGGUCGAUACUGCCGGACUAGAGUUCGGAAGAGGCGAGUGGAAUUCCCGGUGUAGCGGUGAAAUGCGCAGAUAUCGGGAGGAACACCUAUGGCGAAGGCAGCUCGCUGGGACGUUACUGACGCUGAGACGCGAAAGCGUGGGGAGCAAACAGG